UACGUAGGGGGCAAGCGUUGUCCGGAUUCAUUGGGCGUAAAGAGCGCGUAGGCGGCCUGGUAAGUCGGGUGUGAAAUCUCCGAGCUCAACUCGGAGGGGCCACUCGAUACUGCUAUGGCUCGAGUCCGGUAGAGGAGUGUGGAAUUCCCGGUGUAGCGGUGAAAUGCGCAGAUAUCGGGAGGAACACCGAUAGCGAAGGCAGCACUCUGGGCCGGUACUGACGCUGAGGCGCGAAAGCGUGGGGAGCAAACAGG
rnacentral:rRNA from 1 species